UCCUACGGGAGGCAGCAGUGAGGAAUAUUGCGCAAUGGGCGAAAGCCUGACGCAGCAACGCCGCGUGAAUGAUGAAGUUUUUCGGAAUGUAAAGUUUAGUCACCAGAGAUGAUAAUGACAGUAUCUGGAGAGGAAACCCCGGCUAAGUACGUGCCAGCAGCCGCGGUAAGACGUGCGGGGUAAGCGUUAUCCGGAAUCACUGGGCAUAAAGAGUGUGUAGGCGGAAAUGUGUGUCAGGUGUGAAAGGCUUUGGCCUAACCAAAGUAAGCACUUGAAACUGCAUUUCUAGAGGAUAGUAGAGGAAAGCGGAACUUACGGUGUAGCGGUGAAAUGUGUAGAUAUCGUAAGGAACACCAGUUGCGAAGGCUGCUUUCUGGGCUAUUUCUGACGCUAAAGCACGAAAGCGUGGGUAGCGAACGGGAUUAGAUACCCCGGUAGUCCACGCCGUAAACGUUGUUCACUAAGUGUAGGGAGAAUCGAUCCUCUCUGUGCCACAGAUAAUUCUUUAAGUGAACCGCCUGGGAAGUACGACCGCAAGGUUAAAACUCAAGGAAUUGACGGGGA
rnacentral:rRNA from 1 species